GCCCUAGUAGCUUAAACAAAGCAUUGAACUUGUAAAUCAAAAAUGGGAACCACCUACCCCCUAGAG
rnacentral:tRNA from 1 species